AACGUCCAAACAUACUUACCUGGACGGGGUCAAUGGGCGAUCAAUAAGGUCCAUGGCCUAGGUUGGUGACCUCCAUUGCACAUACCGGAGGGGUGCCCGCCUAAGGUCUGUCCAAAGUGGCAGAGCCUACGUCAUAAUUUGUGGUAGCGGGGGCCUGCGUUCGCGCGGCCCCUCCCAAGCCUCCAGUUUCAAUUCUUUACUUUCCAGAGACAAUAGAGACCCAGAGAGACCUUUGACCUUGAAGGGCCCCAUUAAGUCGCUUCGGAGAGAUCGGGUUAUAGAAUUAGAACUUGGAAGUAAACAGAUGGUAACAUAAACAUUCACUUGAUUAGUUGGAAGUUAUAGUUGUGGGCUAUUUUAUUUAUGGUAUCUAUGGAUGACCAUUGAUGGGUCGAAAUGGAAGUUAACAUUUCCGUUGAUCACUGCAUUUAGAAUCAAAAUUACGAGGUUGGUUUCUUCAUUUUUGAAGGUCUCUCAUUCUAGUUUGGUUCAACCAUCGGUAAUAAUAGUCAUUGAAAUCAACUAAACCUGGAAUUACUGAUUUAUAUUUUGAAUGUUCUAGUUUGUUGUGAUUCUAUUUAUGUGAUUAGUUCCAGAGUCGAAGCAUGAUAAUUUCUGUUAAUGUCAAUUUUUGAGGUUCGACACUGAUUCACAUUUUUGAAAGCAACUUCAUUUGCUCAUUGCUAGUAAAGGGUUUUGGCUCCAUUUGGUAAUAUUUUUCAAUAACUUACCUGAGCUUGAUGUGCUCGAUAUCCUUUCUCUGUUAGCAUCUCUAGUCUUCUUGCAGAGUGCACAGAAAAGUUUUCCUUUCUUUGUUGACUUUUGAUUGGCUUAUUUAGACUUUUAGUAACCAGAGCGGUGUAGUCCAACUUUGAUGGCCAAGCAUUAGCUUUCUUAGACUUUCUCCCCUUCGAACUUCUGCAAAGUUGAAAGGUUUGAUAAAUAACGUUAUGAGGUUCUCAUUAAGAUUCAAAAGGGUGGAAGAAUAAGAAGUGUGAAGCAAAAAGAAAACAGAAACAGACGUGUCUACAAUUUGCUCAAUAUUCAGGCUGUCUAAAUCCUCUUAAGCUAAGAGCCAGAUCCCUCUAAGCGGAACAUUCUGAAUUUAGCUUUUACUAUGAGAUGCUUCUUUGUGGGCAUCAAAUUCUAUUCCUUAUUGAUCUUUGAGACGGAAUGUAUUUUCUUCGAAGCCAUAUAGCAGGUGGAGUGGAAAACCUGAAAGACUUAAUAUUAUAGUAGCUAGGGAAGCUUUAUAUUUUUACAUUUUGUGGAAUUUGUACUCCCAAAUGGACUACUUACAUCUGGUAAUUGAAAAUUAGUUCAUCUAGAUUUGCAGAUUCUGUUGCA